rnacentral:rRNA from 1 species
UGGCGGACGGGUGAGUAACGCGUAAAGAACUUGCCCUUUAGACUGGGAUAACAGAGGGAAACUUCUGAUAAUACUGGAUAAGUUAGUAUAUCGCAUGAUAUGCAAAUGAAAGCUACGGCACUAAAGGAGAGCUUUGCGUCCUAUUAGCUAGUUGGUAAGGUAAGAGCUUACCAAGGCGAUGAUAGGUAGCCGGCCUGAGAGGGUGGACGGCCACAAGGGGACUGAGAUACGGCCCUUACUCCUACGGGAGGCAGCAGAA